rnacentral:rRNA from 1 species
CACAUGCAAGUCGAACGGUAACAGGAAGCAGCUUGCUGCUUUGCUGACGAGUGGCGGACGGGUGAGUAAUGUCUGGGAAACUGCCUGAUGGAGGGGGAUAACUACUGGAAACGGUGGCUAAUACCGCAUAACGUCGCAAGACCAAAGAGGGGGACCUUCGGGCCUCUUGCCAUCAGAUGUGCCCAGAUGGGAUUAGCUAGUUGGUGAGGUAACGGCUCACCAAGGCGACGAUCCCUAGCUGGUCUGAGAGGAUGACCAGCCACACUGGAACUGAGACACGGUCCAGACUCCUACGGGAGGCAGCAGUGGGGAAUAUUGCACAAUGGGCGCAAGCCUGAUGCAGCCAUGCCGCGUGUAUGAAGAAGGCCUUCGGGUUGUAAAGUACUUUCAGCGGGGAGGAAGGUGUUGUGGUUAAUAACCGCAGCAAUUGACGUUACCCGCAGAAGAAGCACCGGCUAACUCCGUGCCAGCAGCCGCGGUAAUACGGAGGGUGCAAGCGUUAAUCGGAAUUACUGGGCGUAAAGCGCACGCAGGCGGUCUGUCAAGUCGGAUGUGAAAUCCCCGGGCUCAACCUGGGAACUGCAUUCGAAACUGGCAGGCUUGAGUCUUGUAGAGGGGGGUAGAAUUCCAGGUGUAGCGGUGAAAUGCGUAGAGAUCUGGAGGAAUACCGGUGGCGAAGGCGGCCCCCUGGACAAAGACUGACGCUCAGGUGCGAAAGCGUGGGGAGCAAACAGGAUUAGAUACCCUGGUAGUCCACGCCGUAAACGAUGUCUACUUGGAGGUUGUGCCCUUGAGGCGUGGCUUCCGGAGCUAACGCGUUAAGUAGACCGCCUGGGGAGUACGGCCGCAAGGUUAAAACUCAAAUGAAUUGACGGGGGCCCGCACAAGCGGUGGAGCAUGUGGUUUAAUUCGAUGCAACGCGAAGAACCUUACCUGGUCUUGACAUCCACAGAAGAAUCCAGAGAUGGAUUUGUGCCUUCGGGAACUGUGAGACAGGUGCUGCAUGGCUGUCGUCAGCUCGUGUUGUGAAAUGUUGGGUUAAGUCCCGCAACGAGCGCAACCCUUAUCCUUUGUUGCCAGCGGUCCGGCCGGGAACUCAAAGGAGACUGCCAGUGAUAAACUGGAGGAAGGUGGGGAUGACGUCAAGUCAUCAUGGCCCUUACGACCAGGGCUACACACGUGCUACAAUGGCGCAUACAAAGAGAAGCGACCUCGCGAGAGCAAGCGGACCUCAUAAAGUGCGUCGUAGUCCGGAUUGGAGUCUGCAACUCGACUCCAUGAAGUCGGAAUCGCUAGUAAUCGUGGAUCAGAAUGCCACGGUGAAUACGUUCCCGGGCCUUGUACACACCGCCCGUCACACCAUGGGAGUGGGUUGCAAAAGAAGUAGGUAGCUUAACCUUCGGGAGGGCGCUUACCACUUUGUGAUUCAUGACUGGGGUGAAGUCGUAACAAGGUAACCGUAGGGGAACCUGCGGUUGGAUCACCUCCUUACCUUAAAGAA